rnacentral:rRNA from 1 species
AGUGGGGAAUAUUGCANNNNGGAGGAGACUCUGAUGCAGCGACGCCGCGUGAGCGAAGCAGGCUUUCGAGUCGUGAAGCUCUGUCCUAAGAGAAGAAGAAGUGACGGUAACUUAGGAGGAAGCCCCGGCUAACUACGUGCCAGCAGCCGCGGUAAUACGUAGGGGGCUAGCGUUGUCCGGAAUUACUGGGCGUAAAGGGUGAGUAGGUGGUCAUUAAAGUCAGAUGUAAAAGGCAAUGGCUCAACCAUUGUAAGCAUUUGAAACUUAAUGACUUGAGUGCAGGAGAGGUAAAUGGAAUUCCUAGUGUAGCGGUGAAAUGCGUAGAUAUUAGGAAGAACACCAGUGGCGAAGGCGAUUUACUGGACUGUAACUGACACUGAGUCACGAAAGCGUGGGGAGCGAACAGGAUUAGAUACCCUGGUAAUCCACGCUGUAAACGAUGAGUGCUAGGUGUCGGCAAGAGAUUGUCGGUGCCGCAGUUAACGCAUUAAGCACUCCGCCUGGGGAGUACGAUCGCAAGAUUG